UACAGAGGGUGCAAGCGUUAAUCGGAAUUACUGGGCGUAAAGCGUGCGUAGACGGUUAUUUAAGUCAGGUGUGAAAGCCCCGGGCUCAACCUGGGAAUUGCAUUUGAGACUGAAUAGCUAGGGUGCGGAAGAGGGAAGCGGAAUUUCCGGUGUAGCGGUGAAAUGCGUAGAUAUUCGGAAGAACACCAGUGGCGAAGGCGGCUCACUGGACCGGUAUUGACGCUGAGGUGCGAAAGCGUGGGGAGCGAACAGG
rnacentral:rRNA from 1 species